rnacentral:lncRNA from 1 species
AGGCAAAAACCACAAAGAAGAUUGUGCUGAGGUUGCAAUGCCAAGGUUGCAAACAUGUUUCCCAGCACCCAAUCAAGAGGUGCAAGCACUUUGAAAUUGGUGGAGACAAGAAAGGAAAGGGAACCUCUCUUUUCUAGAUUGCCUAUGAAGUGUAAUCCACAGCUUUCUUUUUUGCCUUCGUUUAUGUUAUUUUGGAUUUAUGUUGGUUCUUGUGGGUUACUUUGUUUUCCAAUAGAUGAUUUUGUGUUUGUUAUUGGUUGAUCUCUGCACAGCAGUUGUGCUUGUGUUUAAUAUUCUGUAAGUUAAUCACUUUCUUUGGUUAUGCAGAGGUGCAAGCACUUUGAAAUUGGUGGAGACAAGAAAGGAAAGGGAACCUCUCUUUUCUAGAUUGCCUAUGAAGUGUAAUCCACAGCUUUCUUUUUUGCCUUCGUUUAUGUUAUUUUGGAUUUAUGUUGGUUCUUGUGGGUUACUUUGUUUUCCAAUAGAUGAUUUUGUUAUGGUAGUUAUAUGGAGAUGAAAUUUAUAUUUCAGGGUUUUAAAUUUAGUAUGGAUACUUUCUUUUGGUAAUUGAUGUUCAAGCAAUUGGGACAAAGUUCUGCUGUCUUAUUGUUUGAUAUAAUAGUCAUGUUUUCACAAGCGUUGCACACUUUUAAAACCUUAAGAAAAGAU